rnacentral:rRNA from 5 species
GCGGAACCUGCGGAAGGAUCAUUA